rnacentral:precursor_RNA from 15 species
AAAUCGAAUCCAAAUGCGAAUAAGUGAAUAAAGAGAGCUGUCCGUCGACAGUCCAGAAACUAUUUAAUAUCACUGUCAUGGAAUUGCUCUCUUUGUAUAAUAUUCGACGAUGCGCUGUGAGGCAA